AACGAACGCUGGCGGCAUGCCUAACACAUGCAAGUCGAACGAGAUCUUCGGGUCUAGUGGCGCACGGGUGCGUAACGCGUGGGAAUCUGCCCUUUGGUUCGGAAUAACAGUUGGAAACGACUGCUAAUACCGGAUGAUGACGAAAGUCCAAAGAUUUAUCGCCAGAGGAUGAGCCCGCGUAGGAUUAGCUAGUUGGUGUGGUAAAGGCGCACCAAGGCGACGAUCCUUAGCUGGUCUGAGAGGAUGAUCAGCCACACUGGGACGGAGACACGGCCCAGUCUCCUACGGGAGGCAGCAGUGGGGAAUAUUGGACAGUGGGCGAAAUCCUGAUCCAGCAAUGCCGCGUGAGUGAUGAAGGCCUUAGGGUUGUAAAGCUCUUUUACCCGGGAUGAUAAUGACAGUACCGGGAGAAUAAGCUCCGGCUAACUCCGUGCCAGCCGCCGCGGUAA
rnacentral:rRNA from 1 species